rnacentral:lncRNA from 1 species
GCUUUUUUGUGACGUCAUCCUUUUUAUUUCAGUUUGUUUGUUUUUGUAUUGCCCAGACUAAUUGCUUUAGAAUAACACUGUUAUUGCAAACAGUGAUGUGAUGAAGGGGAAACUGUGAAAGGCUUGGGAAAAUAUAAUAAUUUAAUACAUUAUAAAUAUAUAUAUGUUUUACAAACAGGGUCUCACUCUGUUGCCCAGGCAGCAGUGCAGUGGCACCUUCUUAGCUCAUUGCAGCCUCAAACUCCUGGGCUCAUGCUAUCCUCCCCAGUCACUCUCCCAAGUAGCUAGGACUACAGGCAUGCACCACCAUACUCAGCUGGUUUUUUAAAUUUUUUGUAGAGGCAGAGUCUUGCUAUGUUGCCCAGGCUGUUCUCAAACUCUUGGACUCCACCAGUUCUCCCACCUUGGCCUCCCAAAAUGCUGGGAUUACAGGCAUGGGCCACCACACCCACCCAUAAAUAUUUUUAGAAGGAAUUUUUCUGACUCCCGUGUCACAAGGGACAAUAAUUUCUAUAUUCCUUUAAGUUAAUCCAUACGACCUAAUGAGCCACAACUACCAAAACAGGUAGGGUGCAUUCUGAGAGCUGUGCAAUUUGGACUGAAUUAUGAUGGAAUUGACUCAGACGGAGGCAGAAAACUCUGGACAUAUUAAUAGCAUCCAAAAGUAGAUUUUAAAGAACUCAUUACAUGAGGAUGAGAUCCUGUGGAGGGGUUCAGGUUAAUAUAUGGGUCAAAUCAUUGAAAGAGUUACUGAGGAAGACAUUUUAAGAGACACGCAUGUUGGACGCAUCUUUGCACAGAGGGGACAUUUAGCCUGAGCAACAUAUGUUUAGAAUCCAGAUUGAAAAUCAUUCUUGAUUACGGAUGGAGGGACAAAUCUCUCUGGCCAGAAAGCUGGAGUCAGGAGACAGGUGAGAUGGAAAAAGUAGACUUUGUUUCUUCCCUUGGUAACACUCACAAAAGUGUCCACCCCCAGAAACGCUGGAAAGGAGAAAGUGAUUCUGUUAAUAACCAACCUUAAAUGAGCUAAUUAAGGAAAUAACAGCUUUGGGGACACCACACUCUUUAUAAUGGGAGGAAUUGGACUCUGGAGAGUUGCUGGAAAGCUCACCUUCUGGACCAUGCCCACUGACUUUACUGGAAAUGGAAAUCUGAAGGGGAUAAGGAUGACCAGGGAGAAAACGUCCUGGGAUCAGACCAAGCUUGGGGCUGGUGCACAAGGCUUUGCCUUGACUUUUAAAGUUCUGUCUAUAAAUGUUUCUCACCCCUUUCUUUCGCACAUAGUACGGAACCCUGAAAAACUAUUCUUCAGGUUAUAGGCUGCACCAAUUGCUCAGUUUAGAGAACUUUAAGGAAUCCCUUCUUAAGAAAAAAAGAAUCAGUAAUUGUGUCCAUUUUGAGGAAUUUUAAUACUUGUCAUGUACACAUAUGUGUACAUACAAACCACAUAAUAAACAACACUUUUUCCUUUAGCUAUUACAGUCCAGUUCUUGAAGUGUCAAGGUCAUAAAGUUUACCAAUUAGCUAUUAUGAACAAGUUCUUCAUCAGAAUAAAUGGAAAUUUUACUUUGCUUUAGAGAAAAUACAACGUGCGCAUAUGCACUAUAUUUUGAGAUCUGCAUAAAAGAACAUUUCUAUACUAUUUUAAUAGAAAUAUUGCUCAGUUUUAAAUGUAUCUCAAGUUUAAAUGAGUGGUAUUUUCCCUUUCUAAACUAGGAUUGGAUCUUCUGCUCUCAGCCAUCAGUUCUGGGUAAAUCCAAGCUGCUUGGCUGGCUAAAAAGAGGUGUGGUUGGUUUUACCUAAUGGCUACCCUCAUCUGUAAUCUUCUUUAUGCAACUAAAAAUCAGUAAGAACAACACACUUAUUUUUUCUCCAUAUGUCCUGGAAGCAGACCUUUAUACCAUGCCUCACAAGACGGACAGAGGGAGGCAUCUGGAGAUGUUCGGACAGAAUGGAAGUCAAUUAGAACAUUCUAAUGGUGGGCAUGCAGCCUGAAAUCAGAUAUGUUACCUAGGGAUGUUGGUGGAUUCUAUAUGGCCUGUGAGAAUGAACAAGCAGGUUAGUACUGGAUGCUGUUGCCAAAGAAUGGGCAAGGGCAGAAGUGAAAGAAGAAAUGGAGAAGGCAGUAGGGUCAAAUAGUGAGACUCAGAUGGGAGAAUCUAUAUCUUUGUAACAAUAUUUUUACCCAUUGGAAAGAAGACAUAGGGUAAAAUUUUAGAUAUUGAUAUUCAAAAUUGUUGCCAUGAAUGUUCAUAGCAGCAUUAUUCACAAUAGGUAAAAAGCAGAAACAGCCCACAUGUCCAUCAACUAAUGAAUGGAUAAACAAAUGUGGUUUCUCCAUACGAUGGAAUAUUAUUUGACAAUAAAAAGGAAUGAAGAGCUGAUAUACAGUGUGGAUGAUCUUCAAAAAUUUUAUGCUUAGUGAGAGAAGUCAGAGGUGCUGUAUCAUUCCAUUUAUAUGAAAUGUCCAGAAAAGUCAAACCCACGGAAACAGAGUAAAUUAGAGCUUGCCUAGGGCUGAGGGUGGGAAUGGGAGCAAUAGUAAACGAACAUGGUAUUUCUUUUGGGGCUGAUGGAAAUGAUGUAUGAUCAGAUGGUGGUGAUGGUUGCACAACAAUAAGGCUCAACAAUAAGAUUAACGUUCUGUGUGAGCCACUGCACCCAGCCAAUAUCACAUUUUCUCUAUCCACUCAUUGAUUGAUGGGCAUUUGGGCUGGUUCCUUAUUUUUGCAAUUGCAAAUUGUUUUGCUAUAAACAUGUGUGUGCAAGUAUAUUUUUUGUAUAAUGACUUAUUUUCCUCUGGGUAGAUACCUAGUAGUGAGGUUGCUGGAUCAAACAGUAGGACGCCUUUUAGUUUAAAUGCAGGGCACAAAUUUCUUGUGAGAAAGAUGCUUUCCCUAUACCAGGAAGAGGAGAACAUUCUUAUCACUGGAUAUGGGGAGUCAACACCCAGAUGAAUCCAUACAAAAAAGCCUACUGAAAUAACCUUAUUUUCUAUUAGUUUCCCAUUUAUUUCCUAGCCACCUUCCCAUAAUCUGCUGCUUCAGCCCAACCCCCUUUUUUCCUUGUCAUAUUAUUUUGUCUUGUCACAUCUUCUGAAAUUUAUAAUUCUUUGUUAAUGUGGUAUAUAAGCUCUCAGGCCUAUCUGCUUCUUUGGAUCUUCAUUUCUUACAUAUGAAAGCCUCCAUGUAUGUGUAAAAUAUUAAUAUCAAAUAAAAUUUAUAUGCUGUUUCUCCUGUCAAUCUGUCUUUUGCCACUUUAAUUCUCAGGCUAAGCCACAGAACCUAAGAGGAAGGAGGAAAAGUAUUUCCCCUCCUUCAUUAUGUCUCCUAAAUUUUCAAACCAACAAUGUCAGUACUUCCUUAAGUUUUCCAGGGAUUCUUGUGAGCCACAUUACUAAGGCAGGUAGCAAUUAAAAAAUCAUUUCUAUAGUUCUUUUACUCGUUGUUCCUAUUUUCACCUAGACAGAUCAAGUCAAAGCCUUCUCAACAUGACAGCCCUU